CUCGCGGGUUUUGUUGAGCCUUUUUUCAGUGAUUUUUCGGUGCGAGAGAGACUUUGCCGCAACACCUCGAGCACAUUUCACGUUUGUCAAGAGCUCGCUUAGAAAUUAAGGCACUGCCAUGGCCACCUUGAUUAAAAAGGUGGCGACGGUCUUCGGACGAGUGGUCAAUCCAGAAAGUGGGGCUGCUGAAGCACUGCCUUCACCCAAAGACUGAGAAACGCGCCAGUUCAAAUGGUUGUAUAACCUACAAGGCGCAACUGGGACAAGUUUUCACGCUGCCAACAUGACCACACAAAAUCUCUAAACAUUUUUAAAAAUCAUUUCUCUGUAAAAAGAUACCCAAAUAAAAUUUUGAUUAAA